GCGGCGAANACGGGUGAGUAACGCGUGGGAAUCUACCCAUCUCUACGGAAUAACACAGAGAAAUUUGUGCUAAUACCGUAUACGUCCUAUUUGGAGAAAGAUUUAUCGGAGAUGGAUGAGCCCGCGUUGGAUUAGCUAGUUGGUGAGGUAACGGCUCACCAAGGCGACGAUCCAUAGCUGGUCUGAGAGGAUGAUCAGACACACUGGGACUGAGACACGGCCCAG
rnacentral:rRNA from 1 species